rnacentral:misc_RNA from 1 species
AAACGGGUGUUCUCUCUAUCUCUCUCGCUAUCCUUUUGUUCACCAUUUAUUUGCUCAUAUCUGUAUAUAUCGCCUUGCUUUACUAUUGUUGUCUCACUUGUUAUAAGCCUUCUAUAGGCUGUUCCUACAUCCAAAGGUCAAGCACUAGCUGAUGAAUAUGGCAUUAAAUUCUUUGAGACUAGUGCCAAAACGAAUAUGAAUGUUCAGGAGGCUUUCUUUUCAAUAGCCCGGGAUAUAAAGCAAAGAAUUGCUGAAUCUGACUCAAAGGCUGAGCCUCAGACCAUCAAGAUUAAUCAACCCGACCAGACAGCAGGAGGUAUUCAAUCUGCCCAAAAAUCAGCUUGCUGUG